rnacentral:tRNA from 1 species
GAAAAAUUAGUUUAAUUGGUAAAACUGAGUCUUGUGGCGACUUUAUUUAGAGUUCAAAUCUCUAAUUUUUCU